GGAGUACAUGAAAAGAAGGAUUUGAAUGGAAACAGAGCAGAGAUCAGUACUCCUAAAUUAAAUAAGAAUUAGUGUAUUUAGGGGGCACCAUUACCCAGGUUUCCUCUCCCAUAUGGAAGUUAGUCCUAGGUAGUAAAUAGUUGUAGUUAUUUUGCAUUUUGAUGCAAAAAUAACCUUUUCAUUUUUCAGAAUUCUCAGGGAAAAUUAUUUGACCGAAUUACAUAAGGACUCAUUUGAAGGCCUACUAUCACUCCAGUAUUUAGAUUUAUCCUGCAAUAAAAUACAAUCUAUUGAAAGACGUGCAUUUGAACCACUACCUUUUUUGCAGUUUAUAAAUCUUGGUUGCAAUUUACUCACAGAACUGAGCUUUGGAACAUUUCAGGCCUGGCAUGGAAUGCAGUUUUUACACAAGUUAAUUCUCAGUCGUAACCCUCUGACAACUGUUGAAGAUUCAUAUCUUUUUAAAUUGCCGGCAUUAAAAUAUUUAGACAUGGGAACAACACAGGUGUCACUUCCAACAAUUGAGAGCAUCCUCAUGAUGACCCUUGAAUUGGAAAAACUGUAAGUUGAUUUUUCUUAUGUUUAUUUUCACU